rnacentral:tRNA from 1 species
GGGGAUUUAGCUCAGUGGAAGAGUGAUUGCCUGGCAAGCACAAGGCCCUGGGUUCAGUCCCCAGUUCCA